rnacentral:lncRNA from 1 species
AAGCAGUCUGCAUGUGGGCACCGUGUGCUGGACACUGGAGGACUUAGUUUUAAGAAUGUAAAUAGCUAGGCAUAGUUGUAUAUAAUGUACCACACCAUACCAGUUUGAUUUAGGUCCAGAGACAGCCCAUUGAAAUUACUGUAAUAACUAAUAAUUUUUCAUGCCUGAAUGAACAAAGGGUCUUUCAAUUUCAGUCUUUCAAUUACUUUUACAGCAAUUAGACCCACUCAGUUUUAGAUGUCUUCUAACACAGCUUUUGUUUUUAUACCAAGCAACUUAAUUAAUUGCAGCUCACAUUCAUGCAUGGUGCCAAGAAGAGUUUUCCCAAGGUCAAAGGAUUUUUCCUGCUGUCCUGGCAUUUGGACAUAUACAGGUCUCAGCUGACAUACAGAGCCAGGAAUGUGGCCAGACAAGGCUGUAACAUCACACCUUCUUUCCUCCCUGCUUUCCAGAACUGAGUCUCAGAUGCAAAAUAAACAUGCAGUCAAUAGAUUACUUGCUGAUUGAAAGUUUCCCCGUG